AUACGUAGGGGGCGAGCGUUGUCCGGAAUGAUUGGGCGUAAAGGGCGCGUAGGCGGCCUGUUAAGUCUGAAGUGAAAUCCCAUGGCUUAACCAUGGAACUGCUUUGGAAACUGCCAGGCUAGAGUGCAGGAGAGGUAAGCGGAAUUCCUAGUGUAGCGGUGAAAUGCGUAGAUAUUAGGAGGAACACCAGUGGCGAAGGCGGCUUACUGGACUGUAACUGACGUUGAGGCUCGAAAGCGUGGGGAGCAAACAGGAUUAGAUACCCUGGUAGUCCACGCUGUAAACGAUGAUUACUAGGUGUUGGGGACCAAAGGUCCUCGGUGCCGCCGCAAACGCAUUAAGUAAUCCACCUGGGGAGUACGUUCGCAAGAAUGAAACUCAAAUGAAUUGACGGGG
rnacentral:rRNA from 1 species